CAGUCGCCGCGGUAAUACGAAGGGGGCUAGCGUUGUUCGGAUUUACUGGGCGUAAAGCGCACGUAGGCGGAUCGAUCAGUCAGGGGUGAAAUCCCAGAGCUCAACUCUGGAACUGCCUUUGAUACUGUCGAUCUGGAGUAUGGAAGAGGUAAGUGGAAUUCCGAGUGUAGAGGUGAAAUUCGUAGAUAUUCGGAGGAACACCAGUGGCGAAGGCGGCUUACCGGUCCAUUACUGACGCUGAGGUGCGAAAGCGUGGGGAGCAAACAGGAUUAGAUACCCCCGUAGUCCCUGUCUCUUAUAC
rnacentral:rRNA from 1 species